UCUGUCGCCCAGGCUGGAGCGCAGUGGCGCCAUCUCGGCUCACUUAGCAAGCUCUGCCUCCCGGGCUCACGCCGUUCUCCUGCCUCAGCCUCCCGAGUAGCUGGGAAGGACUACAGGCACACGCCACCACGCCGGGCUAAUGUUUUGUAUUUUUAGUAGAGACAGGGUUUCACCGUGUUAGCCAGGAUGGCCUCGAUCUCCUGAACUCGUGAUCCGCCCGCCUCGGCCUCCCAAAGUGCUGGGAUUACAGGCGGCCACCGCGCCUGGCCAACGGCACAAGUGAUCCUUAUGUGCAAUUUAAGCUGACUGGGAAGGCACUGUACAAAAGUAGAGUCGUAUAUAAGAACUUGAACCCAGUUUGGGAUGAAACAGUUGUAUUGCCAAUACAAAGCCUUGAUCAAAAGCUACGUGUGAAGGUAUAUGAUUGAGAUUUAACCACAUCUGAUUUCAUGGGUUCUGCAUUUGUCAUUCUCAGUGAUCUUGAGCUUAACAGAACAACCGAACAUAUUUUAAAACUGGAAUAUCCAAACAGUUUAGAAGACGACAUGGGAGUGAUCAUCUUAAAUUUGAACCUAGUGGUAAAACAGGGUGAUUUCAAGAGACAUGUAAGUGUCUUUUGAAACGGCUCAUUUUGUCCUGUGUAAGCAGCUCAUUGCAAUUGUCCUUUGAUAGCUAGCAGACGACUGAUUAUUUUUGCAAUUAUUUUA